rnacentral:tRNA from 1 species
GGAGGUGUGGCUCAAAUGGUAGUACAUCUGCCUAGCAAGCAGAAGACCCUGACUUCAAAUGUCAGUACCAUAA